GACGAACGCUGGCGGCGUGCCUAAUACAUGCAAGUAGAACGCUGAAGAGAGGAGCUUCCUCUUCUUGGAUGAGUUGCGAACGGGUGAGUAACGCGUAGGUAACCUGCCUUGUAGCGGGGGAUAACUAUUGGAAACGAUAGCUAAUACCGCAUAACAAUGGAUGACACAUGUCAUUUAUUUGAAAGGGGCAAUUGCUCCACUACAAGAUGGACCUGCGUUGUAUUAGCUAGUAGGUGAGGUAAUGGCUCACCUAGGCGACGAUACAUAGCCGACCUGAGAGGGUGAUCGGCCACACUGGGACUGGGACACGGCCCAGACUCCUACGGGAGGCAGCAGUAGGGAAUCUUCGGCAAUGGGGGCAACCCUGACCGAGCAACGCCGCGUGAGUGAAGAAGGGUUUCGGAUCGUAAAGCUCUGUUGUAAGUCAAGAACGGGUGUGAGAGUGGAAAGUUCACACUGUGACGGUAGCUUACCAGAAAGAGACGGCUAACUACGUG
rnacentral:rRNA from 1 species